rnacentral:rRNA from 1 species
GACGAACGCUGGCGGCGUGCUUAACACAUGCAAGUCGAACGGUGAAAGAGGAGCUUGCUCCUCUGGAUCAGUGGCGAACGGGUGAGUAACACGUGAGUAACCUGCCCUUGACUCUGGGAUAAGCGUUGGAAACGACGUCUAAUACCGGAUACGACAACCGAUGGCAUCAUCUGGUUGUGGAAAGAAUUUCGGUCAAGGAUGGACUCGCGGCCUAUCAGCUAGUUGGUGAGGUAAUGGCCCACCAAGGCGACGAC